GACGAACGCUGGCGGCGUGCUUAACACAUGCAAGUCGAACGGAAAGGCCCUGCUUUUGUGGGGUGCUCGAGUGGCGAACGGGUGAGUAACACGUGAGUAACCUGCCCUUGACUUUGGGAUAACUUCAGGAAACUGGGGCUAAUACCGGAUAGGAGCUCCUGCUGCAGGGUGGGGGUUGGAAAGUUUCGGCGGUUGGGGAUGGACUCGCGGCUUAUCAGCUUGUUGGUGGGGUAGUGGCUUACCAAGGCUUUGACGGGUAGCCGGCCUGCGAGGGUGACCGGCCACAAUGGGACUAAGAGACGGCCCAGACUCCUACGGGAGACAGCAGUGGGGAAUAUUGCACAAUGGGCGGAAGCCUGAUGCAGCAACGCCGCGUGCGGGAUGACGGCCUUCGGGUUGUAAACCGCUUUCGCCUAUGACGAAGCGUGAGUGACGGUAAUGAGUAAAGAAGCACCGGCUAACUACGUG
rnacentral:rRNA from 1 species